GCGUGUUUUGGUUAAAUUCAAAGCCAAGCAGCUGCAGAAUAAAGUCAGGAAGUCACCCUUCUGUUGCUUGAAAUGAAACAAGAAGAAAGUCCAGCCAAGAGCAACUCCUCCAACAAAAACAGUGUGAGCCACCGGCGGGAUCAGCGAGAAGUUCACAGCCUGAGACAUGACUCUUGGAAACAUCCUGUCCCAUCCCCGUAGCCAGUGGCAAUUGAAGUUGGCAUGGAAACAGAACCCAAGCAGCGCCGCCCGAGUCUGGGCCCAGUCAAUGCUGUCAAGCUGUGGAGCAUGUUGUAUUGGAUCUAAUGCCACAGUAAAUCCCUCAACCGAUGUGAUGGAGGUAUCUUGUCAUGUGCCCUGUCCCUUUGUCCUGAGCUUUUCCCAUCAUGCUUUGCUGAAUGAGGUCUGCUGUGGCAAAAAGUGUUGUGUAAAACACUAAAAUUACAAAAAUUAAAAUUGAAAAUAUAAAAAUAUAAACUAAUUUAAAAUGUGAAUAAAUAAGAUAGUAUAUAAAUUAUACUAAAAUAA
ensembl:lncRNA